rnacentral:rRNA from 1 species
AGCGAACGCUGGCGGCAGGCCUAACACAUGCAAGUCGAACGAACUCUUCGGAGUUAGUGGCGGACGGGUGAGUAACACGUGGGAACGUGCCUUUUGGUUCGGAAUAACUCAGGGAAACUUGUGCUAAUACCGAAUGUGCCCUUCGGGGGAAAGAUUUAUCGCCAUUAGAGCGGCCCGCGUCUGAUUAGCUAGUUGGUGAGGUAACGGCUCACCGAGGCGACGAUCAGUAGCUGGUCUGAGAGGAUGACCAGCCACACUGGGACUGAGACACGGCCCAGACUCCCACGGGAGGCAGCAGUGGGGAAUCUUGCGCAAUGGGCGAAAGCCUGACGCAGCCAUGCCGCGUGAAUGAUGAAGGUCUUAGGAUUGUAAAAUUCUUUCACCGGGGACGAUAAUGACGGUACCCGGAGAAGAAGCCCCGGCUAACUUCGUG